rnacentral:rRNA from 1 species
UUUUAUGGAGAGUUUGAUCCUGGCUCAGGAUGAACGCUGGCGGCGUGCCUAAUACAUGCAAGUCGAGCGAACGGACGAGAAGCUUGCUUCUCUGAUGUUAGCGGCGGACGGGUGAGUAACACGUGGAUAACCUACCUAUAAGACUGGGAUAACUUCGGGAAACCGGAGCUAAUACCGGAUAAUAUUUUGAACCGCAUGGUUCAAAAGUAAAAGACGGUCUUGCUGUCACUUAUAGAUGGAUCCGCGCUGCAUUAGCUAGUUGGUAAGGUAACGGCUUACCAAGGCAACGAUGCAUAGCCGACCUGAGAGGGUGAUCGGCCACACUGGAACUGAGACACGGUCCAGACUCCUACGG